rnacentral:rRNA from 1 species
UACGUAGGGGGGCAAGCGUUGUCCGGAUUUAUUGGGCGUAAAGAGCGUGUAGGCGGCCAGACAGGUCCGCUGUGAAAACUCGAGGCUCAACCUCGAGAUGUCGGUGGAAACCGUCUGGCUAGAGUCCGGAAGAGGAGAGUGGAAUUCCCGGUGUAGCGGUGAAAUGCGCAGAUAUCGGGAAGAACACCCGUGGCGAAGGCGGCUCUCUGGGACGGUACUGACGCUGAGACGCGAAAGCGUGGGGAGCGAACAGG